rnacentral:rRNA from 1 species
AGUGCUGCAUGGCUGUCGUCAGCUCGUGUCGUGAGAUGUUCGGUUAAGUCCGCUAACGAGCGCAACCCUCACUGUGUGUUACAAGUGUCACACGGGACUGCCGGUUUUUAAGCCGGAGGAAGGUGAGGAUGACGUCAAGUCAGCAUGGCCUUUAUGUCCUGGGCUACACACACGCUACAAUGGUCGGUACAACAGGUUGCCAAGCCGCGAGGCGGAGCCAAUCCCUAAAGCCGGCCUCAGUUCAGAUUGUAGGCUGCAACUCGCCUGCAUGAAGCUGGAGUUGCUAGUAACCGCAGGUCAGCUAUACUGCGGUGAAUACGUUCCCGGGUCUU